AUUGAACGCUGGCGGCAUGCCUUACACAUGCAAGUCGAACGGCAGCACGGGUGCUUGCACCUGGUGGCGAGUGGCGAACGGGUGAGUAAUACAUCGGAACGUACCUUAUCGUGGGGGAUAACGCAGCGAAAGCUGUGCUAAUACCGCAUACGCCCUGAGGGGGAAAGCGGGGGAUCGCAAGACCUCGCGCGCUUAGAGCGGCCGAUGCCUGAUUAGCUAGUGUGUGGGGUAAAAGCCCACCAAGGCGACGAUCAGUAGCUGGUCUGAGAGGACGAUCAGCCACACUGGGACUGAGACACGGCCCAGACUCCUACGGGAGGCAGCAGUGGGGAAUUUUGGACAAUGGGGGCAACCCUGAUCCAGCAAUGCCGCGUGAGUGAAGAAGGCCUUCGGGUUGUAAAGCUCUUUUGUCAGGGAAGAAACACCGGCUCUAACACAGUCCGGGAAUGACGGUACCUGAAGAAUAAGCACCGGCUAACUACGUGCCAGCCGCCGCCGUAA
rnacentral:rRNA from 1 species